GGUUAGGUGGCCGAGUGGUUGAAGGCGUCGGUCUGCAAAACCGAUUUUCGCGGGUUCAAAUCCCGCCCUAACCUC
rnacentral:tRNA from 1 species